UACAGAGGGGGCAAGCGUUAUUCGGAAUUAUUGGGCGUAAAGGGCGCGUAGGCGGUCUGACAAGUGGAAGGUGAAAUCCCCGCGCUUAACGUGGGAACUGCCUUCCAAACUGUUUGACUUGAGUCCGGGAGAGGUGAGUGGAAUUCCCAGUGUAGCGGUGAAAUGCGUAGAUAUUGGGAGGAACACCAGUGGCGAAGGCGGCUCACUGGACCGGAACUGACGCUGAGGCACGAAAGCGUGGGGAGCAAACAGG
rnacentral:rRNA from 1 species